AUGGAUAUGACGCCAUUGAUAUGCGACUCCACAUCGCCGUGUCACUUUUAAGAAUGGCGAAUUGGAAAGAAAGAAUUUGGAAACAUUUGAGAUAUUGUGAGUACUCAGCAGAACAAAAUAUAUACACUGUAACGAAUUGCUGUAAAAACUACAGCGUUAUUUUACAGAAGCUGACUGUAUUUUAAAUAAUACAGAAUAUUGCUGUAAAGUGCAAUGCAUUCUGGGGUCACGUGACGGAUUAACUCAAUGUACAGAAUAUUGCUGUAAAUUUCAAAUCUACAAUGGCGGGAUGAUCUUCAACAGUCGAGAUUGGGGUAGUGCGCAAAAUGAAUGAUUCACACCUGUGGUAAGUAACUUAUUACGUAUUUUUUUUCCAUAUUUGGUAACUAUCAUACUGGUAACUUUAUAUAGAGGUAUCUAAAUUCGCGGUUCAUAUUGCUAACCCCGGAUUCAACCUCCAUCCGCGGGGACCGAAGGAGUCUUGCGGGGUUUCAGCAGCGCCGUCGCGGUAAGAUUUCAAACAUUCUCCGUCGCUAUAGCACCUGAGGACAGAAGUUGUUCAUGUUAUUUAGAGUUUUUGUUCACACAAGGAGUGAAGGCGGUAUGUGACGAGCUACAGUUCAUUGUUUUAGUUAGUUGACGAUUGUUUUUUAAAUGUUGAACAACGCGCCCGCCGUAGACUCGGUAAAAGUUACAUGCUUCGACAGUUGGGAUACCACACUCGCUCGUGAUUAUUUUGUGGUGUAAUUCAAAUUUGCAAAUGCAGUCAUCCGUUAAAUCGAGCGCCCAAAUUAAAAUGAGUCACCAUAGCUUGAGGACACACUUUGCCAUGCAGGCCACUGGAUGCUGACUACUGAAGGUUAGGUUGUGUGUGACGGUGCUCAGCACAGCUUCAUGUCUGGCCUUCCCACUCUGUUCAUAGCAUGUUACAUAUCCAGUCUUGAGUACCAGGAUGGGGCAGCGUGUACUUGGAGUCCAAUGAAAGAUAUUAAUCCAGAGAGUGGAACAAGCAGCGUCAUCUAAAAUGCCAGGAUACAGAAGAAACAGGUUGCAGUGAACCCACAUGUCGCCGCUCUUCUAAACACAAUGAUGAAUAUUCAGUGUAAUCGAUGAAAAUUCCAGCUACUUGUUGUGCUCUGAUGGAUCAAGAUGUGGACCGUUUUACAGACUCACUUGGGCCUUGUUUUGCAAUGUUGUUUCAUGAUGGUAAUGUUGGUUAACGUGUUGUUUAAACAUUAAUGUUUAAAGAGCCAUGUUGGAUACUAUGAAGUUCUUACUGAAUAAAAUUAUUUCAUGUACAACAACGUACACAAUUUGUCUGUAAUGUAUUUUUGUAUCAAUUAAAAAAAAAUAAACACUGUAUAUCCAGUAUGCAAAACAUACUGGAUAUACAGUGAUUUAUGUAUUUCUUCUAAAUAAAGUAAAUUAAAAUCAAGCAAUUUGCUGUAAAAAAUACAGCAUUAUACUGUUGCUAUUCAAAAUUACAGUUUUUCCUGUAUUCUGCAAUUACAGUAAAUGGCUGUAAAUUAAAUUACAGUACUGUGGCUGUACAAUUUACAGUAACUGGCUGGCAACCCUGCUGCCAGUAGUUUACUGUAAAUUUUACAGGA